AUUGAACGCUGGCGGCAUGCCUAAUACAUGCAAGUCGAACGAGUCGCUGACGUGUGAGUCAUGUCUGGUAAACUCCCUGAUGGAGGGGGAUACCUACUGGAAACGGCAGCUAAUACCGCAUACCAUCGGCUUUGCCAAGCUGGGAUUAGCUAGUAGGUGGUGUAAAGGCUAACAUAGGCGCCGAGCCCUAGCUGGUCUGAGAGGGUGACAAGCCACACUGGAACUGAGACACGGGCCAGACGCCUACGGGAGGCAGCAGUGGGGAAUAUUGCACAAUGGGCGAAAGCCUGAUGCAGCCAUGCCGCGUGUAUGAUGAAGGCCUUCGGGUUGUAAAGUACUUUCAGCAGGGAGGCGUUACCCGCAGACGAAGCACCGGCUAACUCCGUGCCAGCAGCCGCGGUAAUAC
rnacentral:rRNA from 1 species